GACGUAGGGCGCGAGCGUUGUCCGGAUUUAUUGGGCGUAAAGAGCUCGUAGGCGGUCUGUUGCGUCCGCUGUGAAAACCCAGGGCUUAACCCUGGGCUUGCAGUGGAUACGGGCAGACUAGAGGCAGGUAGGGGAGAAUGGAAUUCCCGGUGUAGCGGUGAAAUGCGCAGAUAUCGGGAGGAACACCGGUGGCGAAGGCGGUUCUCUGGGACGGUACUGACGCUGAGACGCGAAAAGCGUGGGGGAGCGAACAGG
rnacentral:rRNA from 1 species